rnacentral:lncRNA from 1 species
UCCCUAUACGACCUAUAAACCAAAACCACGUAAUAAAAAUAAUCUGAUCCACUAUGACAGACACAUUAGCAACAACUCCUCUAAACAUUGUGUUGUUUCGAGCACGCCAUAAACUUCAUGUGGUAGCUAACCAAAUUAGAUGGCGGCCAUUAGCAUUUUUAUUAUUCUUCACCAAAGCCCCAAAACUGUUGAAGUGGCUCCAAACCUCCUCAAAAUGAAUAUAAGUCACUUUCAUCCACUUAAAAAUAUUCUUCCACACACGUAGUGAGAAAGAGCAAUUAAAAAAUAAAUGAUUAAUGUCUUCCUCUUC